GUGCCAGCCGCCGCGGUAAUACGGAGGGGGUUAGCGUUGUUCGGAAUUACUGGGCGUAAAGCGCGCGUAGGCGGACUAUUAAGUCAGGGGUGAAAUCCCAGGGCUCAACCCUGGAACUGCCUCCAAAACUCCUGGUCUUGAGUUCGAGAGAGGUGAGUGGAAUUCCGAGUGUAGAGGUGAAAUUCGUAGAUAUUCGGAGGAACACCAGUGGCGAAGGCGGCUCACUGGCUCGAUACUGACGCUGAGGUGCGAAAGUGUGGGGAGCAAACAGGAUUAGAAACCCGGGUAGUCC
rnacentral:rRNA from 1 species